UACGUAGGGGGCCAGCGUUGCUCGGAAUUACUGGGCGUAAAGGGUCCGUAGGCGGUGUAGCAAGUCGAUAGUGAAAUCUCUGGGCUUAACCCAGAGGCUGCUAACGAAACUGCUGUGCUAGAGUGUGAGAGAGGCGAGUGGAAUUACGGGUGUAGCGGUGAAAUGCGCAGAUAUCAGGAGGAACACCAAUGGCGAAGGCAGCUCGCUGGGACGGUACUGACGCUGAGACGCGAAAGCGUGGGGAGCAAACAG
rnacentral:rRNA from 1 species